GCAGUUCCGGCGAGGGGGGAGCCUCAGCAGGAUUGCUGUGUGAAAACCGAGC
rnacentral:sRNA from 1 species